AUUGAACGCUGGCGGCAUGCCUUACACAUGCAAGUCGAACGGUAACAGGUCUUCGGAUGCUGACGAGUGGCGCACGGGUGAGUAAUACAUCGGAACGUGCCCGAUCGUGGGGGAUAACGGAGCGAAAGCUUUGCUAAUACCGCAUACGAUCUACGGAUGAAAGCCGGGGACCGCAAGGCCUUGCGCGGACGGAGCGGCCGAUGGCAGAUUAGGUAGUUGGUGGGAUAAAAGCUUACCAAGCCGACGAUCUGUAGCUGGUCUGAGAGGACGACCAGCCACACUGGGACUGAGACACGGCCCAGACUCCUACGGGAGGCAGCAGUGGGGAAUUUUGGACAAUGGGCGAAAGCCUGAUCCAGCCAUGCCGCGUGCAGGAUGAAGGCCUUCGGGUUGUAAACUGCUUUUGUACGGAACGAAAAGACUCUUUCUAAUAAAGAGGGUCCAUGACGGUACCGUAAGAAUAAGCACCGGCUAACUACGUG
rnacentral:rRNA from 1 species